AACAACUCACCUGCCGAAUGAAUUAGCCCUGAAAAUGGAUGGCGCUUAAGCGGGCAGCCGACACAACGCCGUUUGAACUAUCCGAUUGAAUUCAAAUGAGUAGGAAGGACGUGGCGGUUGUAUAGAAGCAUGUGUGCGAGCAUGUGUGGAACGGCCGUUAGUGCAGAUCUUGGUGGUAGUAGCAAAUAUUCAAAUGAAAACCUUGAAGGGCGAAGCGGGGUAGGGUUCCACGCGAACAUUGAUUGAGCGCGGGUUAGUCGUUCCUAAGCCGUCUGGCAAUUGCUAGGCACCGGCGAAAGGGAAGCAGGUUGAUAUUCCUGCACACGGAUGUAGAUGGGGUGACCCACGUCGGGGUGGAGACGUUAGCGUGCCGCACUGGGCAGAGAUUUCUUUUCUGUUUGACAUUAUGGGCUAUACUCUGUGGAAUCCGCUUGUCGGGAGAAACAGGUGUGCUCUGGCACAGCGCCGGGAUUUUUCUGGCGUCCAGUUCGCGGUCGUUGACACAUUAAAAUCUGCCUGCUGGCUCGAUUCUUCGGAAUUGAGUGGAAAACUUCUACGCCGUAACGUACCCAUAACCGCAUCAGGUCCCCAAGGUGAACAGCCUCUGCUCGAUAUGAUUAAU
rnacentral:rRNA from 1 species